rnacentral:misc_RNA from 1 species
GUUCCGUAGGUGAACCUGCGGAAGGAUCAUUCAUAAUAAAGUGUUUUAUGGCACUUUUUAAAAAUCCAUAUCCACCUUGUGUGCAAUGUUAGAUCUCGUCAAUCUUGGCGAGAUUUUUAUACAUCAACUCAUUCUUUAACUAAUUUGUCUGAAAAAUAUUAUGAAUACUUAAUUCAAAAUACAACUUUCAACAACGGAUCUCUUGGCUCUCGCAUCGAUGAAGACGCAGC